rnacentral:rRNA from 1 species
ACAAUGAAGAGUUUGAUCCUGGCUCAGGAUGAACGCUAGCUACAGGCUUAACACAUGCAAGUCGAGGGGCAUCAGAAAGAAAGCUUGCUUUCUUUGCUGGCGACCGGCGCACGGGUGAGUAACACGUAUCCAACCUGCCCUUUACUCGGGGAUAGCCUUUCGAAAGAAAGAUUAAUACCCGAUAGUAUAAUCAUUCCGCAUGGUUUGAUUAUUAAAGGAUUCCGGUAAAGGAUGGGGAUGCGUUCCAUUAGGUUGUUGGUGAGGUAACGGCCCACCAAGCCUUCGAUGGAUAGGGGUUCUGAGAGGAAGGUCCCCCACAUUGGAACUGAGACACGGUCCAAACUCCUACGGGAGGCAGCAGUGAGGAAUAUUGGUCAAUGGGCGCGAGCCUGAACCAGCCAAGUAGCGUGAAGGAUGACUGCCCUAUGGGUUGUAAACUUCUUUUAUAUUAGAAUAAAGUGCAGUAUGUAUACUGUUUUGUAUGUAUAAUAUGAAUAAGGAUCGGCUAACUCCGUGCCAGCAGCCGCGGUAAUACGGAGGAUCCGAGCGUUAUCCGGAUUUAUUGGGUUUAAAGGGAGCGUAGGUGGACUGGUAAGUCAGUUGUGAAAGUUUGCGGCUCAACCGUAAAAUUGCAGUUGAUACUGUCAGUCUUGAGUACAGUAGAGGUGGGCGGAAUUCGUGGUGUAGCGGUGAAAUGCUUAGAUAUCACGAAGAACUCCGAUUGCGAAGGCAGCUCACUGGACUGCAACUGACACUGAUGCUCGAAAGUGUGGGUAUCAAACAGGAUUAGAUACCCUGGUAGUCCACACAGUAAACGAUGAAUACUCGCUGUUUGCGAUAUACAGUAAGCGGCCAAGCGAAAGCAUUAAGUAUUCCACCUGGGGAGUACGCCGGCAACGGUGAAACUCAAAGGAAUUGACGGGGGCCCGCACAAGCGGAGGAACAUGUGGUUUAAUUCGAUGAUACGCGAGGAACCUUACCCGGGCUUAAAUUGCAGUGGAAUGAUGUGGAAACAUAUCAGUGAGCAAUCACCGCUGUGAAGGUGCUGCAUGGUUGUCGUCAGCUCGUGCCGUGAGGUGUCGGCUUAAGUGCCAUAACGAGCGCAACCC